rnacentral:rRNA from 1 species
UCACGCUUGAAUACAUUAGCAUGGAAUAAUGAAUAGGACAUCGCAUUCUAUUUUGUUGGUUCUAGGAUCGAUGUAAAUGAUUAAUAGGGAUAGUUUGGGGGCAUUAGUAUUCAAUUGUCAGAGGUGAAAUCUUGGAUUUUAUUGAAGACUAACUACUGCGAAAGCAUUUGCCAAGGANGUUUUCAUUAAUCAAGAACGAAAGUUAGGGGAUCGAAGACGAUCAGAUACCGUCGUAGUCUUAACCAUAAACUAUGCCGACUAGGGAUCGGAUGAUGUUGAUUUUUUAAUGACUCAUUCGGCACCUUACG